rnacentral:tRNA from 1 species
GUCGGGAUAGCUCAGUUGGUAGAGCAGAGGACUGAAAAUCCUCGUGC